GCCCAUCUUAUUCCACCGCCAUGACAUGGUGGGCAUCUUGCCCAGACAGCCAUAGCCAGGAGCGCACUGGCAGCUGGACUGACAGACAGACACAGACAGACAACCAGCUAAAUGUGGCCAGGGCGGUCACCUGAUGAUUGCUCAAUCUUGACUCACGGUUCAGGAAUACACUAUAUUACGCCUAAAGCAACAACAAGCAAUGUGAUUUAGAUUUGGUACAAAAGUGAUUGAAGGAAGAUGACGGUGACCUACUCCAGUAAAGUCGCCAACGCCACGUUCUUCGGUUUCCAUAGACUUCUACUGCGAUGGAGAGGCAGCAUCUACAAACUGCUUUAUCGGGAGUUUAUAGUCUUUGUACUGUUAUAUACCUUGGUGAGCCUCGUUUACAGACUUGCUCUCUCAGACCCUGAAAAGCGUUUCUUUGAAAAGUUGGCUCUUCACUGUAACAAGUAUGCAGAACAGAUUCCAGUCACGUUUGUGCUUGGU